CGGGGGGGCAAGCGUUGUUCGGAAUUACUGGGCGUAAAGGGCGCGUAGGCGGUUUGCUAAGUUGAAUGUGAAAACUCUGGGCUUAACCCAGAGCCUGCAUUCAAUACUGGCAGGCUAGAGUUCUGGAGGGGAUAGCGGAAUUCCUGGUGUAGCGGUGAAAUGCGUAGAUAUCAGGAGGAACACCGGUGGCGAAGGCGGCUAUCUGGACAGAGUCUGACACUGAGGCGCGAAAGCUAGGGGAGCAAACAGGAUUAGAUACCCUGGUAGUCCUAGCCCUAAACGAUGGAUACUUGCUGUGACUGGGAUUGAAUCCAGUCGUGGCGAAGCUAACGCAUUAAGUAUCCCGCCUGGGGAGUACGGUCGCAAGGCUG
rnacentral:rRNA from 1 species